AGAGUUUGAUCAUGGCUCAGAUUGAACGCUGGCGGCAGGCUUAACACAUGCAAGUCGAGCGGAGAUGAGGUGCUUGCACCUUAUCUUAGCGGCGGACGGGUGAGUAAUGCUUAGGAAUCUGCCUAUUAGUGGGGGGCAACAUUCCGAAAGGAAUGCUAAUACCGCAUACGUCCUACGGGAGAAAGCAGGGGAUCUUCGGACCUUGCGCUAAUAGAUGAGCCUAAGUCGGAUUAGCUAGUUGGUGGGGUAAAGGCCUACCAAGGCGACGAUCUGUAGCGGGUCUGAGAGGAUGAUCCGCCACACUGGGACUGAGACACGGCCCAGACUCCUACGGGAGGCAGCAGUGGGGAAUAUUGGACAAUGGGGGGAACCCUGAUCCAGCCAUGCCGCGUGUGUGAAGAAGGCCUUAUGGUUGUAAAGCACUUUAAGCGAGGAGGAGGCUACUGAGACUAAUACUCUUGGAUAGUGGACGUUACUCGCAGAAUAAGCACCGGCUAACUCUGUGCCAGCAGCCGCGGUAAUACAGAGGGUGCGAGCGUUAAUCGGAUUUACUGGGCGUAAAGCGUGCGUAGGCGGCUUUUUAAGUCGGAUGUGAAAUCCCCGAGCUUAACUUGGGAAUUGCAUUCGAUACUGGGAAGCUAGAGUAUGGGAGAGGAUGGUAGAAUUCCAGGUGUAGCGGUGAAAUGCGUAGAGAUCUGGAGGAAUACCGAUGGCGAAGGCAGCCAUCUGGCCUAAUACUGACGCUGAGGUACGAAAGCAUGGGGAGCAAACAGGAUUAGAUACCCCGGUAGUCC
rnacentral:rRNA from 1 species